rnacentral:rRNA from 1 species
UGAGGAAUAUUGGUCAAUGGUCGGGAGACUGAGCCAGCCAAGCCGCGUGAGGGAUGAAGGUACAGAGUAUCGUAAACCUCUUUUGUCAGGGAACAAAAGGCGCCACGCGUGGCGCUCCGAGUGUACCUGAAGAAAAGCAUCGGCUAACUCCGUGCCAGCAGCCGCGGUAAUACGGAGGAUGCGAGCGUUAUCCGGAUUUAUUGGGUUUAAAGGGUGCGUAGGCGGCGAGUUAAGUCAGCGGUAAAAGCCCGGGGCUCAACCCCGGCCCGCCGUUGAAACUGGCUUGCUUGAGUUGGAGAGAAGUAGGCGGAAUGCGCGGUGUAGCGGUGAAAUGCUUAGAUAUCGCGCAGAACUCCGAUUGCGAAGGCAGCCUACCGGCUCCAGACUGACGCUGAGGCACGAAAGCGUGGGUAUCGAACAGGAUUAGAUACC